GGGGGACCGCGCAAAUCCCGUCAGAGCGCGGGCGCCGGCAGCGCGCAGUAGCCCGUCAGAGCCGCUCUGGGAACUGAGCGAGUCUGAAAAGUGCGAGGGGCUGAGAUGUAGAAGUAGCGCCGGGAUGCUGUGUGCCGCUCUGUGGGAGCUGUGAGGCAGUGCUCGGUGAAGUGAUUCCUUUUCCUCGCUGCUCGUGGCAGGUUGAGAGGGAAACCGAAGCCCCCGCCAACGGGAGCACCCGAAGCUCCGCUCGCUCCCGUUCUAUGCGCCCACCUCAGCGCUGCACCGAACCAAGGCGAGGGCGCCGCGGGCAGUGCCUGGCCCGCUCCUGGGCCCGGUGGCCACAUAAUGCCUCCCCUGUUCCUCACAGUGGUCGUCCGUAAAGUUAAAAAUAGCGACUGGAAACGGUGUUGAAAAUCACUUGAAAGCAGCACAUGCUCAGAGUAUGGCUCCACCAAAUUUGCUUGGUUUAUGACGGUGCUAUUUUUAAAACGCGUCUCUCUGCUGUGUGAAAACAACUGCACAGAGACGUCUUCCCAACCGAAUGCGACCAGUUUCAGUUUACUCAGUUUUCAGCUGAGAGCAAACAGCCCCGCGGUGGUUCCUUACCUGGCAGCCCCGUGCUGAGCGCGUGUUGCUGAGUUGCGUCCCCACCCCGGCACCUUGGCACGGCACAGGAACUGCCCCUGCAUUCAGAGAUUGGAGUCCCCCAGGAGUCAGGGCCGGGAGAAGCUCACCGUGACACGACCGGCAGCAGCCCCGCGGCUCCCCCUAGAAGCUUGUUUCAGUUUCUUGUUGAGCAGAAAUCAGAUUGCAGGGCUUCCGAGCAUAGAAAAUGCCUCAAGAGCGGCGUGGUGACAGGAUCAGGCAAUCACAGGAGCGCGGCCGUUCUUCAAAAAGCGUGUCACUGUGUCACGGCAGCAAGAGGGAACGCGCGUGGCAGCCUGGUUCAAUGGUGCAUUCCAAGAGAAAAGAAAACGCUCACAUCCCCCAUACGUACCUCCUUCUGAAGGAACAGAGCCAGGUUCUCUCGCCCUUUUGGGCAGACCUUCGGCCAGGCCUGUGGAAGAAACGGCUCGCUGCGGGUCGUGCCCAUGGGAAGGGUCCCCAGGCCUUUCUCGGUGCCAGAAGAAAGAGCUGUGGGCACCACUUUGACAAAGCAGGUGGAAACGAGGAGGUCACCAACAGUAAGACUUGGAGAGUUGGGGAAAGCGCUCAAAGGUGUGAGUCAGCCCUCACGAGGCAGGCGUUAACGCACAUGUGCGCUACUGCAGCAAAAGGCACAGACGAAAUACAUCGCUGCAUUGCUGCUAUGGAGGGAAAGUUUAGAAACUGACUCAUCCAUCGGCCUGUCCCCAAAGAGAAAGCCAUAACGCCCCCGGUUGCCAACACGCAACGUGAAGCGCCGUAGGAGAGCAAAGAGACGGCGAGGUGGAAGUCUCGGUGAUUAACCUUAUUGGUAAGAGCUCAUUAAAGUAUCCAGGAGAUGACAGGGAUGAAAAUUCCCUUGUAGUCACCCAGCCCUUUGUGUGCUGGCGAGCUGGGUAAUCCACAUGAUGCAGGCAGCCAUUUGGCUAGCAGAUUAGAAAGAAUUUGCAUUAAUGGCUGAGAAUUUCGACAGCAGUUGCCGAGCAAGGGGAUGUGCACUGACAGAGCCUGAACGCAAUGCUGCAUUCACCUCGCUAGGUAAGGCUUCAGGUGGGGACACGGUGUGCACAGCCCAGCGAGUCACUGGCUGGGACAGGCAUCGUGACGCAGAGAUAAGGUAAUGUGCUCUGCAAGAAGGGAGGUGCUGAGAUUACGAGGCAGAAUUUACAUGUGUUCUAAAACACCACUCUCACAAAAUGCAAAUGAUUCUUCGUCACAUGGAAAUACCAAGGAAGGUUAUUUAUCUGGAGGACUUUGAAGAACCAGCAUCUGUUUUAGAAGGCAGCUAUAGUGAAAUGAAGAUCUUAAGCCCAGACCUGGUUGUUCAGAAGGCAGGAUGGUAUCUGACAGUGCCAAGUCCCCAGAUGUGACUCCUUCCUAAAAACUGUUGAUGAAGGAACCUGCGGUUCCCAAGGAAGUUCUGUACUGAUGUAUCCAACUCCUGGCACCUUCUUAUUCCACAGCCUUUUACUUUUCUCUCUACGAAACUGCAAUGGGAGCUGGAGCUCCCAGACCAGGAGCCCUGUGCCCCCCAGGCAGCCCCUGCACCGUGUUUGGGGUGCAGCCUAAAGCACUGCAUUUUGUCCUGCAGUGGGGGAGAAGCAUCUCCUCAAUUGCACAACCCCUAGACACACUCACGCUUCAUUCCUCUCUGGGUAUUACUGCAGAGAAGUGGAGAAGAAGUAAAAAAAGUGGUUUCUCUUUCUUUCACAACUGAAAGUUUUACUCAAAGCUUCUCAGAAAUUGGGCAGCAAUGGAAGAACAGGAGGCUGAGGGGGCUAAGGGCACAGAUGAUAAUGAUGUACCAUACGCUAAAGGAAAACAAAAUCCCUUUCUCUAGAAGAAAUUGCUCACCGAUGUACCGCAGGCUGACAUGCUGCACGCACCCAGACCUCGGUUAGUGGCAGGAAGUGGCAGGCUCAUACCAGAGCAAACUGUGAGCAUCUCAGGGCAUCAGGAGCGUGGUGCUGCACGGAGCCACCCUGUGGCACCAGCAAGCUAAGGGAGCAAGGGCCGUCAGGGGACAGACACGGUGGUGGCUUUUUGCUCAUGUUGAAAGCCAGGCAGGCAGGAGUGGCACGGGCUGGCACCGGCCCAGCAGCCACAGCUACAUGGGGAGAUCAUCAGCUGGGGAACGGGCACCAUGUGCCACUCACCCCUGGACAUGAGCCUCACACCAGGAGUCCUGCAACAGCAAGCCGCAUCACUCUCACAAUUCGCUCUGCUCUCUGUGACUUUUCUGGCAUAGCAACAACAUCAGCUGGGAUGCAGCAUCUCAUGUGCUCCAACUACAGAGGUGAUAAUCCUGCUCUCCUUCUCCAAUAGGCUUAAUGUUGUCAGAAGCAAGAUUUCCUCUUUGCUUUCCAUGUGAACUCUAAGGUCUAACACAUCAGUCACCUUGGCUCGCUGUCUCUGACCACCUCUGGAGGCAGGAGGGGAUUCCACGGGAGCUGCUCUCCCAAGCCAUGUGCUCAUGGGCCGUGCCACUCUGCUAUCACGGCCAGCUCUGUUCUCAGCGUGGUAAAGGCUCCCACUUCCAUCUCUGCUGGCUCAGAACACACCUCAUCUUAUAUGGUCCAGUCCGCUCCCUGCUCACUAACCUUCCAGAAAGAAGACGGCGAGGAUCUGGGGAGACCAUCUGGUCACAGCAGCCACACAGAGAUAGGAUCAGUGGUCAGACAAUCCCCAGCAGACGUUUGUGUAACCCGUUCCUGGAAGCCUUCAAGGAAGGAGACUCGUCCCUGAGAAUAGCGUCUCAUACACAGUUAUGUUUGAAGUUUAUCACAGUUCUGCUGCGAGGGGGUAGCAAAGUUGUCAGCUGUGAUCUCCACUCCACUGGCACAGGAUGGGCUCAAACUGAAUAUGAAUCAGCAUCAUACGGAGGACAGGGAUAACAUGCACACACCACAGCCUGCAUCAGUUACAGUGGGCACUGGGACGUCCAAGCUGUGAGAUAAACUCUGCAAAUAUAUGAGGACUGAAGCUUACUUUUUCAUACCUUCUUACAGCCUGGCCAUGUGCAUGUCCCUUGCGCAGCACUUUGUUGAAAGAAAAAGAAACUACCUGGCUUUGAUCAUCA
ensembl:lncRNA